GUGGCACCACGGCUGCCAUAGGACACCACCAGGCCUUAUCCAAUUGCAGGAAUACCAGACCUCUCCCCUCAGAGUCACAGCACUACUCCCACAUUCGGAGGUGUGAGCAGACAACCCUACCUAAGAAACCCAUCGAUUCCUCUUCCUGCAUGGACACAUUUUACCCCAGGAUUCCAGCUAAACACAGAAAGGACUGAACCAUGGGAUGGACAUGGGCCAUGGCUCAAAAGAACAGUACAGCCUGAGAAAGGAUAAGUAAAGAAAGGGAAGAAACAGAGAAGGGUUUGAAGCAGCAAUGCCAGCGAAAUGGACACGUAAACAGCACACAAGGGGGAACUGUGGUCACCGUUUUCUUUCUCAGCUUCAUAAUCCUGACAUCAAGCAUCUUCACAUCUUUGACACCUCCUUGAAGCCAGCUUCAGCACAAUCAAGAUCUACAUGUCUUGAAGCCGGCAUAUUCCCUUUUUUGCCAUCCCAAUGACUAACUGGAGAGCAGAGGAUUUAAUGAAGGAAUACUCUCUUAUGUGUGAGAUGAGUGAAUCUAAUUCCAGGCCACCUGCUCCUCAGUAGAACUAGAGGCAGGUAAGCCUCUCUGAAUUUUCUGCCACAAAGACACAAAUCAAACAAAACAGAGUCCUUUCAGGUGAGGCAGCUGAUGCAGAGUAGGUGGUUACCCUGUGAGAAUCUGACUCACAUGGCAUGGCUGAUGGCCUGCACCAUGCAGUCUCACAAAGAUCCAUGAGGCAGCACAGCUCAAACACUGCUGUUCUAUACACAGCAUUAUAUGACUCACACAGGACUACAAACUUCAGGGGUUAUUCAAACAAACUUUACAGGUCACAACGAAGCUUUCAGAAACUUUUGUUCCUAAAACUGAAAUGCAAGAUUCUCAGCUUUUAUAAGCAGUACUUAAAAUGAAAAUCAAAAGACAUUUUUAAUGUGUUAAGAUACUCAUAAUACACGUUGAAUAGUAUUGUUCACAGUUUAAGUUCAUCUGUAGUGUCAGCAUUUUGAAUUAUCUCUUUUUAUUGUGUCACUACAGUACUUGGCUAUAAAUAGCAGCAAGACACAUACAGAUGAAAUGGCCCUAAGAAAAACUAUUUACAUCAAAUUUGAGCAACCCAAUGCAUCACAGCUAAGAGGGCUGUGGAAUUAAUCAGAGCCAUUGAAGACUAUCAGGGCAGGCUCCUUCCCGUUCCAAACUGCUAAACUGAGACUCAAGACCUGUAUCACUCUUACACCAAAGUUUGUGUAAGACAUGAGUACAAGUUACCUUAACCAUUGUUUGUCUUGUAAAUUACAGACACAUAUUCGCUGCUGGUUAAUCAAAUCAAUCUUAU